GUGUAUACCUUGCCACACUUAUGUAAGUUGUAUAACUGAUUGCUUUAAGUACGAUGUUAUCUUAUACUUUUCUUCUCUUUGUUUUUGUUCUCUGUUUCUUUUUGUGUGAAUCUAAUUGAUAUAAAUGUUCCGCUUGGACAUGUAGAUUGGUUUUCUGACUGGUGCUUCAAGCCUUGAAGAUAUACCUCUGGUAUAUUGACUUCUCUGUAUCCAAAUGUUACUCUUCUAAAAGGAUGAGAGCAGACAAUGACCAUACCAUUGGAAGCUCGAUAGAGAGCUGGAAGAUGAAGAGCAAAAUGUCUCAGAAAUUAGGAGGAACAAUAACAACGUGUGUGAGUUAUUCUAUGAUACAAGAACCGGCAACUAAUGGGCUCAAGAGAAUGAUGGAAACCACUCUUAUGGAGAUUCUAAAGAGGCUGGAAAGAAGCUAUGAGUUGAUAACAUCAAUGCUAACAGUGGUUCUCUUAGACAGAUUAUCAGGUGUUUUAUAUGGACAAUAAUGACAUGUUCUGUGAUUUUUUUUAGAUUGUAGUUUGUUACAAGGAUAACAAUUAUCAUGUCUUGAAGGACAUAUGUUUCAAUUAAGGCAUGCCUGUCCAGAAGAAGUUCUUCUUGGUGUGAAUGGUCA